UACAUACUCCCUCCAUUCCAAAAUUCUUGUCUUAAAUUUUUCUAAAUACGGAUGUAUCUAGUUACAUUUUAGUGUUAGAUACAUCCGUAUCUAGACAAAUUUAAGACAAGAAUUUUGGGACGGAGGGAGUAUAAA
rnacentral:pre_miRNA from 1 species